rnacentral:rRNA from 1 species
GAGUUUGAUCGUGGCUCAGGAUGAACGCUGGCGGCGUGCUUAACACAUGCAAGUCGAACGAAGCGCCUUAUUUGAUUUUCUUCGGAACUGAAGAUUUGGUGACUGAGUGGCGGACGGGUGAGUAACGCGUGGGUAACCUGCCCUGUACAGGGGGAUAACAAUCAGAAAUGACUGCUAAUACCGCAUAAGACCACAGCACCGCAUGGUGCAGGGGUAAAAACUCCGGUGGUACAGGAUGGACCCGCGUCUGAUUAGCUGGUUGGUUGAGGUAACGGCUCACCAAGGCGACGAUCAGUAGCCGGCUUGAGAGAGUGAACGGCCACAUUGGGACUGAGACACGGCCCAAACUCCUACGGGAGGCAGCAGUGGGGAAUAUUGCACAAUGGGGGAAACCCUGAUGCAGCAACGCCGCGUGAGUGAAGAAGUAUUUCGGUAUGUAAAGCUCUAUCAGCAGGGAAGAAAGUGACGGUACCUGACUAAGAAGCCCGCUAACUACGUGCCAGCCGCCGCCGUAAU